rnacentral:lncRNA from 1 species
UUUUAAUAAAGAUUUAUACUUUUCAAUGAAAAAAUUCAAUUUUUUUAUGAAUGCUUAAAUUAUAUUAAGAAAAGAAAAAAAUAAUAAUUAAGAAUAGUUAAAAAAAAUUAUUUAAACUUGGACUCAAUGGCCCAAAAGAAAAAAAAUGUGAGAAUUGGAUCUGAUUUCUUAAUCGGCCCAAAUGGCUCAAGAGAGAUCUGAUGUGGGUUGGAUCCAAAAAAAUGACCCAAUAUAGAUGUGUUAUUAAUAUUAGUUGAUUACCC